GAUGAACGCUGGCGGCGUGCUUAACACAUGCAAGUCGAACGAAGCACUUUAUUUGAUUUCCUUCGGGACUGAUUAUUUUGUGACUGAGUGGCGGACGGGUGAGUAACGCGUGGGUAACCUGCCUUGUACAGGGGGAUAACAGUUGGAAACGGCUGCUAAUACCGCAUAAGCGCACAGCAUCGCACGAUGCCGUGUGAAAAACUCCGGUGGUAUAAGAUGGACCCGCGUUGGAUUAGCGAGUUGGUGAGGUAACGGCCCACCAAGGCAAAGAUCCAUAGCCGACCUGAGAGGGUGACCGGCCACAUUGGGACUGAGACACGGCCCAAACUCCUACGGGAGGCAGCAGUGGGGAAUAUUGCACAAUGGGCGAAAGCCUGAUGCAGCGACGCCGCGUGAGCGAAGAAGUAUUUCGGUAUGUAAAGCUCUAUCAGCAGGGAAGAUAAUGACGGUACCUGACUAAGAAGCACCGGCUAAAUACGUGCCAGCCGCCGCAGUAA
rnacentral:rRNA from 1 species